rnacentral:rRNA from 1 species
UACGAAGGGGGCUAGCGUUGCUCGGAAUCACUGGGCGUAAAGGGUGCGUAGGCGGGUCUUAAGUUCAGGGGUGAAAUCCUGGAGCUCAACUCCAGAACUGCCUUUGAUACUGAAGAUCUUGAGUUCGGGAGAGGUGAGUGGAACUGCGAGUGUAGAGGUGAAAUUCGUAGAUAUUCGCAAGAACACCAGUGGCGAAGGCGGCUCACUGGCCCGAUACUGACGCUGAGGCGCGAAAGCGUGGGGAGCAAACAGG